GGGGUGUACUCAGAGCAGGAGUCUUGAAGAAGGACUCCUCUGUUCAAAACAUACCAACAGGAAUUGGGUUUUCUCCUCACAGGUGGCAGGAUACUUGUUCUUCUUGUGACAUCAUACCCUACAAAU